rnacentral:misc_RNA from 1 species
GUCAGAUCGGGGCUUCUCCCUCCUCAUGGCCACAAUCUCCUACAUCCAUAUCCACUAUAACACCAAUUCUUUUGACAUUUUUAUCCUUUAUCUCUCAUUUGAAAUUCCCAAUUGGCUCACCUUCUAGACACGUGUACGCUAGUGCUUGUUUCACUUGCGGAAUCAGUUUUAUAGAAUAUAAUGAUAUGAAAUUAUUGAAGCAGCUGAUAAAGAUUAGAGGAAGGACAUUCCCAUUAGGAGUUGGAAGAUGGAACCAAUAUUUUCUCUGUAAUUCCAUCACUUUCUUUCUCAGUUGGAGGAGAGAGAGAGAGAGAGACAGA